AUUGAACGCUGGCGGCAGGCCUAACACAUGCAAGUCGAACGAGUGGCGGACGGGUGAGUAAUGUCGGGGAAACUGCCUGCUGGAGGGGGAUAACUACUGGAACCGGUAGCUAAUACCGCAUACCAUCGGAUGUGCCCAGAGGGGAUUAGCUAGUAGGUGGGGUAAAGGCUCACCUAGGCGACGAUCCCGAGCUGGGCUGAGAGGAUGACCAGCGACACUGGAACUGAGACACGGUCCAGACUCCACCGGGAGGCAGCAGGGGGGAAUAUUGCACAAUGGGCUCAAUGCUGAUGCAGCCAUGCCGCGUGUAUGAAGAAGGCCUUCGGGUUGUAAAGUACUUUCAGCGGGGAGGGGUUACCCGCAGAAGAAGCACCGGCUAACUCCGUGCCAGCAGCCGCGGUAAUUC
rnacentral:rRNA from 1 species